CUUGCUUCUCUUGAGAGCGGCGGACGGGUGAGUAAUGCCUAGGAAUCUGCCUGGUAGUGGGGGAUAACGUUCGGAAACGGACGCUAAUACCGCAUACGUCCUACGGGAGAAAGCAGGGGACCUUCGGGCCUUGCGCUAUCAGAUGAGCCUAGGUCGGAUUAGCUAGUUGGUGGGGUAAUGGCUCACCAAGGCGACGAUCCGUAACUGGUCUGAGAGGAUGAUCAGUCACACUGGAACUGAGACACGGUCCAGACUCCUACGGGAGGCAGCAGUGGGGAAUAUUGGACAAUGGGCGAAAGCCUGAUCCAGCCAUGCCGCGUGUGUGAAGAAGGUCUUCGGAUUGUAAAGCACUUUAAGUUGGGAGGAAGGGUUGUAGAUUAAUACUCUGCAAUUUUGACGUUACCGACAGAAUAAGCACCGGCUAACUCUGUGCCAGCAGCCGCGGUAAUACAGAGGGUGCAAGCGUUAAUCGGAAUUACUGGGCGUAAAGCGCGCGUAGGUGGUUUGUUAAGUUGGAUGUGAAAUCCCCGGGCUCAACCUGGAACUGCAUUCAAAACUGACUGACUAGAGUAUGGUAGAGGGUGGUGGAAUUUCCUGUGUAGCGGUGAAAUGCGUAGAUAUAGGAAGGAACACCAGUGGCGAAAGCGACCACCUGGACUAAUACUGACACUG
rnacentral:rRNA from 1 species